CAGUCUCAGGCCUCAGGGAGCAGAGUUGGGGUUCCUCCACCAGGGCCUGGACCCCUCUCCUCCUCAUCCUCCUCUCUCACUGCACAGGUGA
rnacentral:pre_miRNA from 1 species